rnacentral:rRNA from 1 species
UGGGGAAUAUUGGACAAUGGGCGAAAGCCUGAUCCAGCAAUGCCGCGUGAGUGAUGAAGGCCUUAGGGUUGUAAAGCUCUUUUACCCGGGAUGAUAAUGACAGUACCGGGAGAAUAAGUCCCGGCUAACUCAGUGCCAGCAGCCGCGGUAAUACGAAGGGGGCUAGCGUUGUUCGGAAUUACUGGGCGUAAAGCGCACGUAGGCGGAUUGUUUAGUUAGGGGUGAAAUCCCGGGGCUCAACCCCGGAACUGCCUUUAAUACUGGCAAUCUAGAGUCCGAGAGAGGUGAGUGGAAUUCCGAGUGUAGAGGUGAAAUUCGUAGAUAUUCGGAUGAACACCAGUGGCGAAGGCGGCUCACUGGCUCGGUACUGACGCUGAGGUGCGAAAGCGUGGGGAGCAAA